rnacentral:rRNA from 1 species
UACGUAGGUGGCAAGCGUUGUCCGGAAUUAUUGGGCGUAAAGCGCGCGCAGGUGGUUUCUUAAGUCUGAUGUGAAAGCCCACGGCUCAACCGUGGAAGGUCAUUGGAAACUGGGGAACUUGAGUGCAGAAGAGGAAAGUGGAAUUCCAAGUGUAGCGGUGAAAUGCGUAGAUAUUUGGAGGAACACCAGUGGCGAAGGCGACUUUCUGGUCUGUAACUGACACUGAGGCGCGAAAGCGUGGGGAGCAAACAGG